AGUGAGCUGAAAUAUUUUUAGUUUUAAGAUCAUUCACUCUAUUGAUGGAAGUUUUUAAUAAUGUAGGGGAGAAAAACAUAUAGAUGAUCAUUGAGGUAUAUAUAUUUAUAGAACUCAAUUUCUUAAUCAUAGUUUUUCAGCAAUGUAUACAUGAAACACAAUAAAUCCUUUUAAUAUCAAAAUAAAAUCAUAUAUUUAGAAAUUUUUGUUUGCAAUCAAGAUCAUCGAAAGACACAUCAUUUGAACCAAUAUUAGUAUACUUUGAAGAUAAGAAAUGAUAUGUUUCGGAUGCGUAUCGGAGCAAUCACCAAAGGCAUCAAAAUUAAUUCUGUUUUUCUUAAAGUAAGACUUUAUUUAAAAAUCACAUUUAGUUUAAGCUUUUAUACAAAAUCAGAUUCUGAAUUACAUAGGAUUUUCAAUAAAGGCUUUCAAAAUCAUACUUUGAGAUAUGUAUCUUCCACAUUAUAGCUCAUCUUAAAUG
rnacentral:lncRNA from 1 species